UACGGGGGGGGCAAGCGUUGUUCGGAAUUACUGGGCGUAAAGGGCGCGUAGGCGGUCAGAUAAGUCAGCUGUGAAAACCUCGGGCUUAACCCGAGGCCUGCAGUUGAAACUGUCUGGCUGGAGUGUGGGAGAGGAGAGUGGAAUUCCCGGUGUAGCGGUGAAAUGCGCAGAUAUCAGGAGGAACACCGGUGGCGAAGGCGGUUCUCUGGGCAUGUCCUGACGCUGAGGAGCGAAAGUGUGGGGAGCGAACAGG
rnacentral:rRNA from 1 species